GGGCCCGUAACUCAGCUUGGCCAGAGUACCUGGCUUUUAACCAGGGAGUCGCGGGUUCAAAUCCCGCCGGGCCCG
rnacentral:tRNA from 1 species